rnacentral:rRNA from 1 species
UAACCUGCCCAAGAGACUGGGAUAACACCUGGAAACAGAUGCUAAUACCGGAUAACAACACUAGACGCAUGUCUAGAGUUUAAAAGAUGGUUCUGCUAUCACUCUUGGAUGGACCUGCGGUGCAUUAGCUAGUUGGUAAGGUAACGGCUUACCAAGGCAAUGAUGCAUAGCCGAGUUGAGAGACUGAUCGGCCACAUUGGGACUGAGACACGGCCCAAACUCCUACGGGAGGCAGCAG